GUCUGAGUUAUGCAUCUGCUGCUUCUCACCUAGCUCCUUCUAUGAGGUGCUUACAAUACAACGUUAAGCAUACUGGACUUCUAUUUGUUCAGUACUUUGAAUCUACUGGCUGCUUAUCAGUAGCCAAAGCAAAUUUGCUUUACGUCAUGAAUGGCUCUGCUUUCACCAGAAACAAGUCCUGAUGCUGAUGUGUUGUACGGCACUGAUGUAGCAUCUGCCAUGAAAUCUCAUCAGUGGAUGCUUCUAACUUUUACUGUGUUUUUGGUGUGUUUCAG
rnacentral:lncRNA from 1 species